rnacentral:rRNA from 1 species
GGAAACAGUUGCUAAGACUGGAUAGGAAAUAAAAAGGCAUCUUUUUAUUUUUAAAAGACCUUUUUCGGAAGGUAUGCUUAAAGAGGGGCUUGCGUCACAUUAGUUAGUUGGCAGGGUAAAGGCCUACCAAGACUAUGAUGUGUAGCUGGACUGAGAGGUUGAACAGCCACAUUGGGACUGAGACACGGCCCAAACUCCUACGGGAGGCAGCAGUAGGGAAUUUUCGGCAAUGGAGGAAACUCUGACCGAGCAACGCCGCGUGAACGAUGAAGUAUUUCGGUAUGUAAAGUUCUUUUAUUGAAGAAAGAAAAAAAUAGUGGAAAAACUAUCUUGACGAUAUUCAAUGAAUAAGCCCCGGCAAACUAUGUGCCAGCAGCCGCGGUAAUACAUAGGGGGCGAGCGUUAUCCGGAAUUAUUGGGCGUAAAGGGUGCGUAGGCGGUUUAAUAAGUCUAUAGUUUAAUUUCAGUGCUUAACACUGUCCUGCUAUAGAAACUAUUAGACUAGAGUGAGAUAGAGGCAAGUGGAAUUCCAUGUGUAGCGGUAAAAUGCGUAAAUAUAUGGAGGAACACCAGAGGCGUAGGCGGCUUGCUGGGUCUUUACUGACGCUGAGGCACGAAAGCGUGGGGAGCAAACAGGAUUAGAUACCCUGGUAGUCCACGCCGUAAACGAUGAGUACUAAGUGUCGGGAUUACUCGGUACUGAAGUUAACACAUUAAGUACUCCGCCUGAGUAGUACGUACGCAAGUAUGAAACUUAAAGGAAUUGACGGGACUCCGCACAAGCGGUGGAUCAUGUUGUUUAAUUCGAAGAUACACGAAAAACCUUACCAGGUCUUGACAUACUCUGCAAAGCUAUAGCAAUAUAGUGGAGGUUAUCAGAGAUACAGGUGGUGCAUGGUUGUCGUCAGCUCGUGUCGUGAGAUGUUAGGUUAAGUCCUAAAACGAGCGCAACCCUUGUCAUUAGUUGCCAGCAUGUCAUGAUGGGCACUUUAAUGAGACUGCCUAAUGAAAAAUUGGAGGAAGGUGAGGAUCACGUCAAAUCAUCAUGCCCCUUAUGAUCUGGGCUACAAACGUGAUACUAAUGGCUGUUACAAAGAGUAGCUGAAACGCAAGUUUAUAGCCAAUCUCAUAAAAGCAGUCUCAGUUCGGAUUGAA